CAGCCGCCGCGGUAAUACGUAGGGCGCGAGCGUUGUCCGGAAUUACUGGGCGUAAAGAGCUCGUAGGCGGCUUGUCGCGUCGCCCGUGGAAACCUGGGGCUCAACCCCGGGCGCGCGGGCGAUACGGGCAGGCUUGAGUGAUGCAGGGGAGACUGGAAUUCCUGGUGUAGCGGUGAAAUGCGCAGAUAUCAGGAGGAACACCGGUGGCGAAGGCGGGUCUCUGGGCAUCAACUGACGCUGAGGAGCGAAAGCGUGGGGAGCGAACAGGAUUAGAUACCCUGGUAGUCCACGCCGUAAACGGUGGGCGCUAGGUGUGGGCUUCCUUCCACGGGGUCCGUGCCGCAGCUAACGCAUUAAGCGCCCCGCCUGGGGAGUACGGCCGCAAGGCUAAAACUCAAAGGAAUUGACGGGGGCCCGCACAAGCGGCGGAGCAUGUGGAUUAAUUCGAUGCAACGCGAAGAACCUUACCUGGGUUUGACAUGCACGGGAAAGCCGCGGAGACGCGGCCCCCCCUCGGGGCCCGUGUGCAGGUGGUGCAUGGCC
rnacentral:rRNA from 1 species